rnacentral:rRNA from 1 species
AAUGAACGCUGGCGGCAGGCCUAACACAUGCAAGUCGAACGGAUCCUUCGGGAUUAGUGGCGGACGGGUGAGUAACGCGUGGGAACAUAGCCUUUGGUACGGAAUAGCCUCGGGAAACUGGGAGUAAUACCGUAUGUGGUUGAGAGAUGAAAGAUUUAUCGCCAAAGGAUUGGCCCGCGUUGGAUUAGGUAGUUGGUGGGGUAAUGGCCUACCAAGCCGACGAUCCAUAGCUGGUUUGAGAGGAUGAUCAGCCACACUGGGACUGAGACACGGCCCAGACUCCUACGGGAGGCAGCAGUGGGGAAUCUUAGACAAUGGGGGAAACCCUGAUCUAGCCAUGCCGCGUGAUCGAUGAAGGCCUUAGGGUUGUAAAGAUCUUUCAGGUGGGAAGAUAAUGACUGUACCACCAGAAGAAGCCCCGGCUAACUCCGUGCCAGCCGCCGCGGUAA